rnacentral:rRNA from 1 species
GCCAGCAGCCAUAUCAUCCUCCAACUCCCAGCUGGCAGCCCCACUGAAGCUCAGCAGGUGUGAGCCUGGUCAGUACCUGGAUGGGAGACCUUAUGGGCAAAAAUAAGGUUGCUGCUGGAA